rnacentral:rRNA from 1 species
ACGCUGGCGGCGCGCCUAACACAUGCAAGUCGAACGGUUAAAGCACCUUUUAGGUGUGUAUAAAGUGGCGAACGGCUGAGUAACACGUGGGCAACCUGCCCUCCUCUUGGGGAUAGCCUCGGGAAACCGAGGAUAAUACCCGAUACUUCAAUGUGGCCGCAUGACGACAUUGAGAAAGCUUUUGCGGAGAAGGAUGGGCCCGCGGCCUGUUAGCUUGUUGGUGGGGUAGAGGCCUACCAAGGCAAUGAUGGGUAGCUGGGUUGAGAGACCGACCAGCCAGAUUGGGACUGAGACACGGCCCAGACUCCUACGGGAGGCAGCAGUGGGGAAUCUUGCACAAUGGGCGAAAGCCUGAUGCAGCGACGCCGCGUGCGGGACGAAGGCCUUCGGGUUGUAAACCGCUUUCAGCAGGGACGAGGCGUAAGUGACGGUACCUGCAGAAGAAGCCCCGGCUAACUACGUGCCAGCAGCCGCGGUAAUACGUAGGGGGCAAGCGUUAUCCGGAUUCAUUGGGCGUAAAGCGCUCGUAGGCGGUCUGUUAGGUCGGGAGUUAAAUCCGGAGGCUCAACCUCCGCCCGCUCCCGAUACCGGCAGACUUGAGUUUGGUAGGGGAAGGUGGAAUUCCUAGUGUAGCGGUGGAAUGCGCAGAUAUUAGGAAGAACACCAGUGGCGAAGGCGGCCUCCUGGGCCAUAACUGACGCUGAGGAGCGAAAGCUAGGGGAGCAAACAGGAUUAGAUACCCUGGUAGUCCUAGCUGUAAACGAUGGACACUAGGUGUGGGAGAAUACGUCUUCCGUGCCGCAGCUAACGCAUUAAGUGUCCCGCCUGGGGAGUACGGCCGCAAGGCUAAAACUCAAAGGAAUUGACGGGGACCCGCACAAGCAGCGGAGCAUGUGGUUUAAUUCGAAGC